rnacentral:rRNA from 1 species
CCUACGGGAGGCAGCAGUGAGGAAUAUUGGUCAAUGGUCGGGAGACUGAACCAGCCAAGCCGCGUGAGGGAUGAAGGUACAGAGUAUCGUAAACCUCUUUUGUCAGGGCACAAAGGCGGGGACGCGUCCCCGGAUGAGUGUACCUGAAGAAAAAGCAUCGGCUAACUCCGUGCCAGCAGCCGCGGUAAUACGGAGGAUGCGAGCGUUAUCCGGAUUUAUUGGGUUUAAAGGGUGCGCAGGCGGUCUGUUAAGUCAGCGGUCAAAGCCCGGGGCUCAACCCCGGCCCGCCGUUGAAACUGGCAGUCGCGAGUUGGAGAGAAGUAUGCGGAAUGCGCGGCGUAGCGGUGAAAUGCAUAGAUAUCGCGCAGAACACCGAUUGCGAAGGCAGCAUGCCGGCUCCACACUGACGCUGAGGCACGAAAGCGUGGGUAUCGAACAGGAUUAGAUAUCCCAGUAGUC